rnacentral:rRNA from 1 species
GACGUAGGGCGCGAGCGUUGUCCGGAUUUAUUGGGCGUAAAGAGCUCGUAGGCGGCUUGUUGCGUCAGCUGUGAAAACCCGCAGCUCAACUGUGGGCUUGCAGCUGAUACGGGCAGGCUUGAGUUCGGUAGGGGAGACUGGAAUUCCUGGUGUAGCGGUGAAAUGCGCAGAUAUCAGGAGGAACACCGGUGGCGAAGGCAGCCCCCUGGGCUAACACUGACGCUGAGGCACGAAAGCGUGGGGAGCAAACAGG